rnacentral:tRNA from 1 species
UCCCUGGCAGUCAAGUGGUUAAGACUCUGCCCUUUCACUACCAAGUGCCCAGGUUCAAUCCCUGGUCAGGGAA